UACAGAGGUCCCAAGCGUUGUUCGGAUUCACUGGGCGUAAAGGGUGCGUAGGCGGUCGGGUAAGUCUGACGUGAAAUCUUCAAGCUCAACUUGGAAACUGCGUCGGAUACUAUUCGGCUUGAGGAAUGGAGGGGAGACUGGAAUUCUCGGUGUAGCAGUGAAAUGCGUAGAUAUCGAGAGGAACACCAGUGGCGAAGGCGGUUGCCUGGAGCUUUGCUGACGCUGAUGCGCGAAAGCGUGGGGAGCGAUCCGG
rnacentral:rRNA from 1 species